ACCUAGCCUGCGGCCAGAUCGCAGGAGGACCCGGGCUGCCUGCCUCGCCAUCCACUCUCACCUGAGCGAAGAAGGAAGCCCCAGGGCAGGGGCUGUCACCGUCCAGCGCCUCACUGUCACUCUCAGGGGCGGCAAGGCAAGAUAACUAUGGCCCAACAAAGCACAGCAAGCAGUAUGCAGGAGCCUGGUCACACUCAGGAGAGCUUAUUAUUAAAUGCCCAAGGAAUUUGCAAUUCAGUUGUUUAACCAGUCAUAGCUUGAAAUCAGCCUGGUAUAAAGAUAUGAAUGCUGCUGCCAAGUCGCUUCAGUCGUGUCCGACUCUGUGUGACCCCAUGGACUGCAGCCUACCAGGUUUCUCCAUCCAUGGGAUUCUCCAGGCAAGAACACUGGAGUGGGCUGCCAUUUCCUUCUCCAAUGAAUGAAAGUGGAAAGUGAAAGUGAAGUCGCUCAGUCGUGUCCAACUCUUAGCGACCCCAUAGACUGCAGCCUACCAGGCUCCUCCAUCCAUGGGAUUUUCCGGGCAACAGGACUGGAGUGGGGUGCCACUGCCUUCUCCCAAAGAUAUGAAUAACAC
ensembl:lncRNA